CUGAAAACUACUUUACAGAAUGCUGGAGCAGUGAUUGGAAAAGGUGGCAAAAAUAUUAAGGCACUUCGUACAGAUUACAAUGCAAGCGUUUCAGUCCCAGACAGCAGUGGCCCUGAGCGCAUCUUGAGUAUAAGUGCAGAUACAGAGACGAUUGGAGAAAUACUGAAGAAGAUUAUCCCUACGUUAGAAGAGUAUCAACACUACAAAGGUAGUGACUUUGACUGUGAACUAAGGCUUCUAAUUCACCAAAGUCUGGCAGGAGGAAUCAUUGGUGUCAAGGGUGCUAAAAUCAAAGAACUCAGAGAGAAUACUCAGACCACCAUUAAGCUCUUCCAAGAGUGUUGUCCUCAUUCCACUGAUAGAGUGGUGCUUAUUGGUGGAAAACCUGAUAGAGUUGUGGAAUGUAUCAAGAUUAUUUUGGAUCUUAUCUCUGAGGUAACACCUUAUUUUAUUCUUACAUUAGUGUUUGUUAAAGUCAGGGUGAAAAAUUGUAUCUUUUCAUUUCUAUUUUUAAUUAAGUACCUUUUCUCCAAUAACAAAUAAAGCGUUGGACUGUUAGCAUAGUCUAAAAUGUAUUCCUGUUUCUUACAUUUGAGAUCUAUUGGGGGGUCUGUCUAUCUUGUACUGAUGGACAGUCGGCU